rnacentral:rRNA from 1 species
AUUGAACGCUGGCGGCAGGCCUAACACAUGCAAGUCGAGCGGAGCGGCGGACGGGUGCGUAAUGCCUAGGAAUCUGCCUGGUAGUGGGGGAUAACGUCCGGAAACGGGCGCUAAUACCGCAUACUAUCAGAUGAGCCUAGGUCGGAUUAGCAAGUUGGUGGGGUAAAGGCCUACCAAGGCGACGAUCCGUAACUGGUCUGAGAGGAUGAUCAGUCACACUAGACCGGAGACACGGUCCAGACUCCUACGUGAGGCAGCAGUGGGGAAUAUUGGACAAUGGGCGCAAGCCUAAUCCAGCCAUGCGGCGUGUAUGAAGAAGGCCUUCGGGUUGUAAAGCACUUUCAGCGAGGAGGCGUUACUCGCAGGAGAAGCACCGGCUAACUCCGUGCCAGCAGCCGCAGUAAUUC